UUCUGUCUCCAACAUAAAUGAGACAGAAAACUAAACAGCAGUGACUUUUGUAGGGUUAUUAAAGUUGGACAAGUUGGUAUUUAAUGAUGUGCUACGUGAUUGCUAACAACACAGCUAUGUUAGCAUAAACAUGGUGAAUCUUGAGGAUGAACGCUAACUUUUUUCCACUUCAUAAAAGUUAACAUGAGGGUUCUCGAUGAUCAGGGACAAUGCAAGGAUGUUAUAAACGGACCAAACUUCAUUCAGAAGAACAACUGAGAUAAUCCAUCCACAAUAUGAGGUUAGUCAUUAAUAUACUGCAACAACAUGGGAAUAGAGCAGCUGCCAGAGAAUUCAACAUUAAUGAAUCAAUGGUACAGAAGUGGAGGAAGCAAGAAGAAUGAGUUUAAUAAAGUUUGAUUUAUCUGACUGCUUUGUUUCGCUUAAUGUGCCUUAUAAUGCGGUGUACCUUAUGGUCCAUAAAAUAGAGUACUUUUGUACAUGUUAUAUUUUUACUUUAAAUACAUUUGGAAAUAUAUCAACCCAACUUUUUUUACUUGGUCAUCCUGGUGUACUGUGUGCAGAAUUUAGAGGUGAAAAUGUGUUUAAUAUCUUUUUUAAAGGGCUAUAACAUGAAAGAAAUGUGGAACAAGUGAAGUACUGAGAAUACUUUUAGGAUGCGCUGUACCUGACAUGCACAUGAUGUCGACUCACGCAUCACACCACUGUUAUGUGCUGGGCUUGACACUUCUUGUGACUCAAUCUCACCUUUUCCAAUACUAAUAACAUAAAACCCACGAUACACAAAAAGACAGCUAUGGCUAUUGCUAUCCCAAAUUCCUGGUAGUUAUAAUGUCAUGAUGACAUUCAUGUUUGUCAUGUAAUGGCAAACAACAACCUAUGAAUGCAGGUGUCGAUAGCGCUCUCCAUUGGACGAUCCUUCAUGAAUCUCCACAAAAUGCCUCUAGAAGCUCCCAGAUAGUGAGAUUAGAACUGUGUGAAUGAAUCUGACUGAAUGUUCGAGACAACUGUCCUGCAGCAGAAUGUAUCUGACAUGAUGUGAAUAAUGUGUUGGAUAAAAAAUCUAAACAUGAAAUGAAUGCAUCUAUGGCAGUGUGCAUAUUUACUAACUGUAAACCUGCUAAAGUUUAAAGUCUAAAGUUUAGCUUCACUCUCACUAAAGUCUUUGCACUUGUGAAUACUUGUCUGCUCUAGAUCUGUUUCCUUCGUUGACUGUGUGUCAGACCUGUAAUGAAAGCGUUCUGUGUUUGACUCACCGAAGCGGAGAAAAGAGAACCAUGCAGUCUUCAUCUUGUCUGGAUAAAUAAAUGACCAGUCUGAAUAUCAGAGAGAUGCUUUUAAUGCGAUCACUUCCUUUUUAGCACCCACUGUGUGACUCUAAGUUCUUACUGGAUGUACUUUAUUUUAGGGGUGGAGAAAGCUGCUUUAAUGCGUUGCAUGUAUCACGUGCAAUGCUGAAUCUUUUUCAGGGCUCUAGAGUGCGACCAAUUUGAUGGCAAAUGCGACCAAAUUUUUCAGUGGUGCGACUAAAAAAAACUAAAAAAAAACUGUUCGGGUAACAAAAAAAAAAAAAAAAUCUGCAACCUUCCCUGUGGUCAACAACAGACACACAUUUUGCCCCUAUCGUGGACUAAACCAAUCAGAGAUAGUCAGGGGCGGGACCUCUCUGAUUGGCCGUGGUCCAGUUGAAAGUGCAGGUGGAAGAGAGAGGUGAGUAGCUUGAAUAAAGCGAUAUCAAUUCAUUAAAUCCUGAAUCGACUUUUAAAUAUAACUGUGUUUUGCCAGAAACGCCAGAUUCUCAGAUUAAAGCUCACAAAACCAUUUCAACAACAACCAAACAGCAGAUGAGAGCAGGUACACGGACUCCACACAAAGACGUAAACACAGAGCCGACGCAUCAGAAUCAGCUUUGUCUUUCUCGGCUUUCUCACCCGACGGCCCGUAGACGGACACGCUGCCGGAGCUCAGCGAUCCUGAUGCGUCCGGUCCGCUGUGAUUACGUCUUUUUGCGCUGAUUCUGAGCUGCAGGUUUUGUCUCUCCAACCAAAAUUCACCGAGCUGAAUUUUGCUGUUUUGCUUCCACGACUAUUAAAAUCACACUUCAUGCACAGCUAGCUCUCUCUCUCUCUCUCUCUCUCUCUCUCUGUACUUCAAGAACAGUUUCCGUCUCCAAUCUCUGUUUUCUGUAUUAUUCAUUCGCUUAUUACCCACCAGUCUACCGCUGUUCACAGCGCUGUGGCUGCUGUCUUUUUCUUUUCUUCACUUAAAUGACCU
ensembl:lncRNA